CAUGUGUAGCGGUGAAAUGCGUAGAUAUAUGGAGGAACACCAGUGGCGAAAGCGGCUCUCUGGUCUGUCACUGACGCUGAGGCUCGAAAGCGUGGGUAGCGAACAGGAUUAGAUACCCUGGUAGUCCACGCCGUAAACGAUGAGUGCUAGGUGUUAGGCCCUUUCCGGGGCUUAGUGCCGGAGCUAACGCAAUAAGCACUCCGCCUGGGGAGUACGACCGCAAGGUUGAAACUCAAAGGAAUUGACGGGGGCCCGCACAAGCGGUGGAGCAUGUGGUUUAAUUCGAAGCAACGCGAAGAACCUUACCAGGUCUUGACAUCCCGAUGCUAUUCUUAGAGAUAGGAAGUUACUUCGGUACAUCGGAGACAGGUGGUGCAUGGUUGUCGUCAGCUCGUGUCGUGAGAUGUUGGGUUAAGUCCCGCAACGAGCGCAACCCUUAUUGUUAGUUGCCAUCAUUAAGUUGGGCACUCUAGCGAGACUGCCGGUAAUAAACCGGAGGAAGGUGGGGAUGACGUCAAAUCAUCAUGCCCCUUAUGACCUGGGCUACACACGUGCUACAAUGGUCGGUACAACGAGUUGCGAGCCGGUGACGGCAAGCUAAUCUCUGAAAGCCGAUCUCAGUUCGGAUUGGAGGCUGCAACUCGCCUCCAUGAAGUCGGAAUCGCUAGUAAUCGCGGAUCAGCACGCCGCGGUGAAUACGUUCCCGGGCCUUGUACACACCGCCCGUCACGCCACGAGAGUUUGUAACACCCGAAGUCGGUGAGGUAACCUUUUAGGGGCCAGCCGC
rnacentral:rRNA from 1 species